rnacentral:tRNA from 1 species
GCCUCAGUAGUCUAAAGGCUUAGGAUGCUUGCACGGAAUGCAAGAGAUUCGAGUUCAAUUCCCAGCCGAGGUA